rnacentral:rRNA from 1 species
UACGUAGGGGGCAAGCGUUGUCCGGAUUUAUUGGGCGUAAAGAGCGUGUAGGCGGCUUGGCAAGUCCGCUGUGAAAACUCGAGGCUUAACCUCGAGAGGUCGGUGGAAACUGCCUAGCUAGAGUCCGGAAGAGGAGAGUGGAAUUCCUGGUGUAGCGGUGAAAUGCGCAGAUAUCAGGAAGAACACCCGUGGCUAAGGCGGCUCUCUAGUACGGUACUGACGCUGAGACGCGAAAGCGUGGGGGAGCGAACAGG